CCUACGGGAGGCAGCAGUGGGGAAUAUUGGACAAUGGGGGGAACCCUGAUCCAGCCAUGCCGCGUGUGUGAAGAAGGCCCUCGGGUUGUAAAGCACUUUCAGUGAGGAAGAACGCCUGGUGGUUAAUACCCAUCAGGAAAGACAUCACUCACAGAAGAAGCACCGGCUAACUCCGUGCCAGCAGCCGCGGUAAUACGGAGGGUGCGAGCGUUAAUCGGAAUUACUGGGCGUAAAGCGCGCGUAGGUGGCUUGAUAAGCCGGUUGUGAAAGCCCCGGGCUCAACCUGGGAACGGCAUCCGGAACUGUCAAGCUAGAGUGUAGCAGAGGAAGGUGGAAUUCCCGGUGUAGCGGUGAAAUGCGUAGAGAUCGGGAGGAAUACCAGUGGCGAAGGCGGCCUUCUGGACUGACACUGACACUGAGGUGCGAAAGCGUGGGUAGCAAACAGGAUUAGAUACCCUAGUAGUC
rnacentral:rRNA from 1 species